CAGGAAAAUCAACAACCCAUCUGAGCAGCAGGACGUGAACCUCAACCGAAGGCGUUUUAACAAUCAGUGACAUCACACAGCUUAGGUGCUGUGACCAAGCCAGCAAACUGACCGUCUCACACAAACCAGAACACACACAUGCAAAAACCCACACCCCUAAACGCACCAGAGCUGGCUCUGGACGAACCGAUUCGGGCCAGAAGAAGCAGCCCAGCAGCAACGGGCCGGGGUGGGGCAAAGAGGCACAGUAGGAGGACAGCCAGCCCUGGCGAGUGCAUCGCCUCUCCAAGACAACUGUUGACAAGCCAGAGGGGCCUAACUGGGCCAAAGUCCCACAAACUGAAUGGUUUCCAUUGAUAAAACGCUUCCUGGAGGCAGGAGGGGGAAGAAGGGAUGACGGGAGACAAGGAAGAGGCGAGAAAGGCUGGGAUGAGAGGGAGAGGAAGACAUGGAGGAGAGAUGUCAACAGGACAAAAUGAGGAAAAAUGAAGGAAGGAAAUUCAGAGAGAAACAAACAAACUGGACAAGGAGAAUUCAGAACAGAAAGAUCAACAGAGAAAAUAAGAGGAGGAACAAGAAAAGAUGGACAAGGACGAUACAAAGGCAUGUAACGUUAUGUAAGAACCAAUAAACAGCAAGGAAGUUAAAUUAAACACACUUUAACUCUGAAGCAGUUUGAAGGACAAAUGCUAACACUAACACCCUCAUAAUGUUAUGUUAAUGUUGACCAGGAGUCCCUCUUAAACAUGUUCACUAUCAGAAUAAACACAGACAGAAAGCUGG